GAAAUGCGAUAAGUAAUGUGAAUUGCAGAAUUCAGUGAAUCAUCGAGUCUUUGAACGCACAUUGCGCCCGCCAGUAUUCUGGCGGGCAUGCCUGUUCGAGCGUCAUUUCAACCAUCAAGCCCCCGGCUUGUGUUGGGGACCUGCGGCUGCCCGCAGGCCCUGAAAAACAGUGGCGGGCUCGCUGUCACACCGAGCGUAGUAGCAUACAUUCUCGCUCAGGGCGUGCUGCGGGUUCCGGCCGUUAAACGACCUUCAUAACCCAAGGUUGACCUCGGAUCAGGUAGGAAGACCCGCUGAACUUAAGC
rnacentral:misc_RNA from 1 species